UACAGAGGUCCCCGAGCGUUGUUCGGAUUCACUGGGCGUAAAGGGUGCGUAGGUGGUGGGGUAAGUCGGAUGUGAAAUCUCGGAGCUCAACUCCGAAAUGGCAUUGGAAACUACCCUGCUGGAGGUUUGGAGGGGGGACUGGAAUACUUGGUGUAGCAGUGAAAUGCGUAGAUAUCAAGUGGAACACCAGUGGCGAAGGCGAGUCCCUGGACAAAACCUGACACUGAGGCACGAAAGCUAGGGGAGCAAACAGG
rnacentral:rRNA from 1 species